GACGACGGCUGGCGGCGUGCCUGACACAUGCAAGUCGGACGGUUCUUGUAUCUUCAAGCUUGCUUGCAGGUGCAAGGAUAGUGGCGGACGGGUGAGUAACGCGUGAACAUCUACCCAUUGGAGGGGGACAACCCGUCGAAAGGCGGGCUAAUACCGCGUAAGCCGCGAGGUGAGAGGCUGCCUAUUGGUGGCCGCCGAUGGAUGGGUUCGCGUCCUAUCAGCUGGUUGGUAAGGUAACGGCUUACCAAGGCUAUGAUGUUUAGGGGUCCUGAGAGGGUGGUCCCCCACACUGGUACUGAGACACGGACCAGACUCCUACGGGAGGCAGCAGUGAGGAAUAUUGGUCAAUGGGCGCAAGCCUGAACCAGCCAUCCCGCGUGCAGGAAGACGGCCCUAUGGGUUGUAAACUGCUUUUCCAGGGGGAGAAUAAUCCUGUCGUGACAGGACUUGACGGUACUCUGGGAAUAAGCAUCGGCUAACUCCGUG
rnacentral:rRNA from 1 species